rnacentral:snRNA from 1 species
GGAUGUGAGGGCGAUCGGGCCGCGACACCUGUCACCCCAGUAACCGCCAGGGUUGAUUCGGCUGCUCUGGCUGGCUGGGCGGAUGUCCCUUCCUUCCUCACCGCUUCGAGUGCGUCCCUCCCGAAGCUGCGGCUCAGUCGAACAGGCCGACCAUAACCUAUAGAGGAGCUGCCCUCCCCCGCUAGAACCUCCAGACAAGCGCUCAAGGUCCAUUUGUAGGAGAGCGUAGGGUUGUCAAGACUCCACAAACACAUCCAAAUAAGGCGCUGCAUGUGGCAGUCUGCCUUUCU